GUAUGUAUGGAUUAGUGAUCAGAGCAUUUGGACGGCUUACCAGGGGCGCGGGUUCGAAUCUCGCUAUGUUUA
rnacentral:tRNA from 1 species